rnacentral:rRNA from 1 species
UGAUCCUGGCUCAGAGCGAACGCUGGCGGCAGGCCUAACACAUGCAAGUCGAACGAACUCUUCGGAGUUAGUGGCGGACGGGUGAGUAACACGUGGGAACGUGCCUUUAGGUUCGGAAUAACUCAGGGAAACUUGUGCUAAUACCGAAUGUGCCCUUCGGGGGAAAGAUUUAUCGCCUUUAGAGCGGCCCGCGUCUGAUUAGCUAGUUGGUGAGGUAAAGGCUCACCAAGGCGACGAUCAGUAGCUGGUCUGAGAGGAUGAUCAGCCACAUUGGGACUGAGACACGGCCCAAACUCCUACGGGAGGCAGCAGUGGGGAAUCUUGCGCAAUGGGCGAAAGCCUGACGCAGCCAUGCCGCGUGAAUGAUGAAGGUCUUAGGAUUGUAAAAUUCUUUCACCGGGGACGAUAAUGACGGUACCCGGAGAAGAAGCCCCGGCUAACUUCGUGCCAGCAGCCGCGGUAAUACGAAGGGGGCUAGCGUUGCUCGGAAUUACUGGGCGUAAAGGGAGCGUAGGCGGACAUUUAAGUCAGGGGUGAAAUCCCGGGGCUCAACCUCGGAAUUGCCUUUGAUACUGGGUGUCUUGAGUAUGAGAGAGGUGUGUGGAACUCCGAGUGUAGAGGUGAAAUUCGUAGAUAUUCGGAAGAACACCAGUGGCGAAGGCGACACACUGGCUCAUUACUGACGCUGAGGCUCGAAAGCGUGGGGAGCAAACAGGAUUAGAUACCCUGGUAGUCCACGCCGUAAACGAUGAUUGCUAGUUGUCGGGAUGCAUGCAUUUCGGUGACGCAGCUAACGCAUUAAGCAAUCCGCCUGGGGAGUACGGUCGCAAGA